CAGUCGCCACGGUAAUACGAGGGGGGCAAGCGUUGUUCGGAAUUAUUGGGCGUAAAGGGCGCGUAGGCGGUUUGGCAAGUUUGGUGUGAAAUCUUCGGGCUCAACUCGAAGUCUGCACCGAAAACUGCCGGGCUUGAGUAUGGGAGAGGUGAGUGGAAUUUCCGGUGUAGCGGUGAAAUGCGUAGAUAUCGGAAGGAACACCUGUGGCGAAAGCGGCUCACUGGACCAUUACUGACGCUGAGGCACGAAAGCGUGGGGAGCAAACAGGAUUAGAUACCCCCGUAGUCCCUGUCUCUUAUAC
rnacentral:rRNA from 1 species